GGCUGGAAUCCCAGUGUACAAGUGUGAAUGCCCAAUAGUGUCUGAUCUUAGAAGCUAAGCAGGGCUGUGCCUGUUUAGUACUUGGAUAGGAGACCAGGUUCUUCUAGCCU
rnacentral:rRNA from 12 species